rnacentral:lncRNA from 1 species
GCUUCUAAAAGUGAAGCCAAAACAGGGUCCAUCCGCUUGUGGCAUUGCGAUCGGUAGUCUGCAAUGCGUCGUGACGUAAAAGUUGCACGCAGCUCCACUAAAGUGGUGCACUGGUAGAAUGCCCACAUUUCACUAAAAAGACCCGGGUUCGGAUCGCAGGUGUACAGGUGGGUUUUUAUUUUAACAGGAGAAUGUUUUAUGCCGGGGUCCACCACGGCUCCACUGGAGCAUUUCCGUCAUGGAUAUGACGUUGUGCAAUAUAUAGACUAACAUAUUGCAAAGAAAAACCCAGAAGAAAAAGUUUACAAAGACGUAAAGUAUGGUUUCAGAGACUUUUGUGAAUAUCAAACUCGAAACGGCAAUUCACAUUUUAUGUUACUUUUUGUAGGUACACGUAGUAAAUGAAGCUAGUUUUAAGAAACCAAGAUAAACCAGUACAGCUAUACUGACACUA